UAAGAGAUUCUACUACUGCACCUUCGAGUGAAAAUUUAAUAGUGUUGCAUGUGUCUACUGAUUAUGUAUUGAGAGGCUAAAAUGCAUAGGUGAGUAUGUAGGAGUUGUUUGUAACGACCCAACAUUUCUAAGUAAGUCGAGGUCGUUAAUUUUUAACAAAUAAACUUUGAUUGAUACAAAUCGAAACAUAAGUCAAUUUAAAAACAAAACAUGUCAGGCCUGAUUUUCAAAUAUUCAAGAAAACUUAACAACAACACUAUUUACAAAUAAAAGUUUGUAAACUAAGUUUUAGUACAUCUUAAACCUUAAAAGAAAUCAUAAGCGGAAGCAAAAUAACACAUUCCCUAUGGCAAUCACGCUUCCUUCCUGCCCCUCGCCGGUUUGCCACCUUUAUUUCCUUUGCCUGAAAAUUAAACAUAAGAAGGGUGAGUAUAACAAUACUCAGUAAGAGACCCUCUACUGGUCUCGUCAGGGGAAAAUAAAUUGUUAAAGUUCUAUUGGGACACCCUGUACAGUCGCAGUCUUGUGAUCCCGUAGGAUACACAUUUCAGUCUAACGCCCCGAAGGACGUACAUAUCAGUCUGACGCCCCGAGGGACGUACAUAUCAGUCAAGUGUUCUGCAGAACACAUAUCAGUCAAAUGCUCCCGAAGGUGCAAAAUAAAUUGGUGAUCCCGUGGGACACCUACAAGGUAAUCAUCCCAAUACAACCUAACAAUCUAUCCCCUCAUUCCAUUCAACCCAUCCUUCAGAUACUUCAAAACAUAGAGUUCUUUCUCUCAACGUCCUAACAGUCAACUUAUCUCACUUAGGUCAUAUGUCUGUCAAUAACAUACUAAUACAUCAGUCAAUCAAACUAUACAGUCAAUACACCCCUCAGAUCACCAGCACACAGUCAUACUUUAGCGUAACGACACCCAAUCUAAACGACAAUCACAAGAUCGCAUCUGCAUCUCAUACAAGCAUAAUCUACAAUUUUCGUCCUGUCCACAUCCACACACAUAUAUAUAUAUUCCAUGACAAUCACAAUAUGCAUUCCACAUUAAGUCUACUUCAAUUCCUAUGCAUAUAUAUAUAUAUUUUCAGUCAAUCCACAGUGUACAUUCAGCACCGAAUCUACACCCAUACGUGUAUAAACAUAAGUAUCAUCUCAACAUCUUUACUCAGUCAAAGAUAAUCAUUUAGACAUGCAAUUCACAAUCAUAAGUGAGUCCAGUAGAAAAUCCCUUACCUUCAAAUUUGUUAAGCUCCUUAACCACGUUGAAGUCUAUGAAGAACGAACCUAAACAUUAAGAAAAUUUCUCAAUAAUUCCCUUCAACGCAUCAGUCAUUUAAAUUCAACCCAAUGUGAAUCUUUUUGCAACUUACCCAAAUCUUCGCGAAAGAAAUCGAGCAGUGGCUUUGCGAAGAGAUGACGUGCGGCGGAAAGACCGUAUACAGAUGGCCGGAGAGUCGCGCGGCAGUGCAGACGACGGAGGAGAAGAAAUCGGCGGCGGCUGGGCUGAAAACAGAGGAGAAAGGAGAGGGGAGACAGCCGGCGGUUACAGGUUCACGCGGCGGCCUUGCUUCGCGAACAGAGAUGGCGGCCGACGGUUGCAGCGACGUCCGGCUGGGUUUGGACGGAACGGAGAGGAAAAGAGAAGAUGGAGAUGGCCGACGGCAGUUGCUGUGCGAACGGAUGGGGCGGCUGACUGCGGUUGGCUGCGGCAGGACGGGAAGAAGAAUAGGGAAAAUGGGUGGGCGGCUGCUAGGGUACCGGAAGGAGAAGAAAAGAAAAAUGAGAGAGGGGUUGUGUGCGCGCGAGAGAGAGAGGUAAAUUUCUUUUUCUUUUCUUUUUAUUUAAAUUAAGUAUAAAAAUAUAUAUAUAUAUAUAAAAUUAAAAACAAAAUAUAUAUAUACAUACCUUUGGGGCAUUACAUUCUUCCCUCCUUAAGAAACUUUCGUCCUCGAAAGUUCUAAUCCUGAAAUAACUCUGGAUAACGAGUCCUCAUUUCUUCCUCUCGCUCCCAUGUCGCCUCUUCAAUUCGAUGAUUCCGCCACAAAACCUUUACUAAUGGAAUGCUUCUAUUACGAAGCAUCUUUACCUCUCUAGCCAGAAUCUCCACAGGUUGUUCUACAUAGCUCAAAUGCUCAUCAAUCUCCAAGGGUUCAUA
rnacentral:lncRNA from 1 species